CAUAUCACUAAGCGGAGGAAAAGAAACUAACAAGGAUUCCCUUAGUAACUGCGAGUGAACAGGGAAUAGCCCAGCACCGAAGCUGCGGUUAUUUGACUGCAAGGCAAUGUGGUGUUUAGGUUGGUUCCUGGCAUUACUGCUCUGCCCCAAGUCCAGCAAUGAGUACGGCAUACCGUUCUGGCCCAAAGAGGGUGAAAGGCCCGUGGGGGUAGAGACCAAGCAUGACAGUUCUGUCCAGAGCUAACCUUGGAGUCGGGUUGUUUGAGAAUGCAGCCCAAAGUGGGUGGUAAACUCCAUCCAAGGCUAAAUACUUACACGAGUCCGAUAGUAAACAAGUACCGUGAGGGAAAGUUGAAAAGUACUUUGAAGAGAGAGUAAACAGUGCGUGAAACCGCUCAGAGGUAAACGGGUGGAGUUGAACUGCGAUCCUUGGGAAUUCAGCUGAUGAGCAUGAUUUGUGCUUGGGCAUAUUGGCCGCCUUUCAGUGUCUGUCUAAUUACAGGUGCCUGCCUAUAGGURGGUAUGUGUGGUGCGCUUAUCAUGUGCUGCACGCAUUGGAGGGUGUAUGGGUCUGCUUGUCAGUGCACUUUCUCAGGGUGUUCACCACGACCGGCACUGCUGUCUGUCUGCUGUAGUCAAACUGAUCAGGCCUGAUUAACGUUGGGCUUGGUUGGGUUGGUAGUUGAAUUUCUGGCCGACUAUAGUGGAUCUGUACGGUGUGUCGGAGACUGCGGCUAUAUAUAUGUGCUCUGUCCUUCAGGCGGGGUUGAGUCUGGUCGACUUGUUGCUGGUUUCGGCCGGUCAGUUGAUGGCUUGAUCCUGUUCAGCUGGCAGUUGCUUGUGUUUUAAUUUUGGCCRACAGUCUGUGGUGUUGUGGUAGACUAUCCACCUGACCCGUCUUGAAACACGGACCAAGGAGUUUAACAUGUGCGCGAGUCAUUGGGUAUUACGAAUCCCAAAGGCGUAGUGAAGGUAAAGGUUCGGCUUGUCCGGACUAAGGUGAGAUCCUGUUGUUUUGCUCUUUAACUCCAAGUCGCGAGCAGCAGGCGCAUCACCGGCCCGUCCCAUGACGUAGACRUGUGGCCUUGUGCUAUGUGCACCGUCGGGGCGGAGCAAGAGCGUACAUGUUGAGACCCGAAAGAUGGUGAACUAUGCUUGCGAAGGUUGAAGCCAGAGGAAACUCUGGUGGAGGACCGUAGCGAUUCUGACGUGCAAAUCGAUCGUAUAACGUGAGUAUAGGGGCGAAAGACUAAUCGAACCAUCUAGUAGCUGGUUCCCUCCGAAGUUUCCCUCAGGAUAGCUGGCAUUCUGAGAAAUAAACAGUUUUAUCCGGUAAAGCGAAUGAUUAGAGGAAUUGGGAAUAAAACAUUUUCAACCUAUUCUCAAACUUUAAAUGGGUGAGAAGCUUAACUCGCUUAAAUGGAGUUUUGCAUUGAAUGUGAGUGCCAAGUGGGCCAUUUUUGGUAAGCAGAACUGGCGCUGUGGGAUGAACCAAACGUGCGGUUAAGGUGCCAAACGCGACGCUCAUGAGAUACCACAAAAGGUGUUAGUUGGUCCAGACAGCAGGACGGUGGCCAUGGAAGUCGGAAACCGCUAAGGAGUGUGUAACAACUCACCUGCCGAAUCAACCAGCCC
rnacentral:rRNA from 1 species